AACAACACCAGCAACAACAACUACAACAACUACAACAACAUCGGUGGCAAACACAGGGAAUCCACCUCUUCUUCUGGUGUUUGGAAUAGUUGUCUCCUUCCUCCUCCUCCUCGUCAUCAUCAUCGUCGUCGUCUACUUUACUCGCAGGUUGAAAAGACGAGGAAGAAGAGAAAUUAGCCCCGUCUAUGAUGAGAUACAGGAUGGGUCGGUGUUUCAGCCGUCAAAUGCAGGUGGACCAACUGCUAUAUACUCCCUGGCAGAUUUUCCAGCUGGAUCAAACAAUAAUGAUCCCACGUACUCCACCAUCCCGGAUCUUCUUCCAGUGGUGAAGACAAGCGACACAUCUCUACCCAAUGAGUCCACAUAUUCCUUUGUUGGCAGCACUUUUAUUGGUGGAAACGAUAAAGGUUCAUUACAGCUCACUGACGAUUCCUAUUCUUUACUGCAGAAACCAGUGGGCAACCUCCGUGUCUGAAAAGUGAAGCCAACGCUGAAGUGCCUUAAACCUGCAUUCUCUCUAACAGCCAGCAGGGGGCGACUCCUCUGGUUGCUAAAAGAAGUCUGAUUGUA